rnacentral:rRNA from 1 species
AACGAACGCUGGCGGCAUGCCUAGCACAUGCAAGUCGAACGAGACCUCCGGGUCUAGUCUCGCCCGGGUGCGUAACGCGUGGGAACCUGCCCUUAUGUUCGGCAUAACUCUCCGACAGGGGUGCUAAUACCGGAUAAUGUCUUCUGACCAAUGAUUUAUCGCCUUUGGAUGUGCGCGCGUUGGAUUCGCUAGUUGGUAGGGUAAGAGCCUACCAAGGCGACGAUCCAUAGCUGGUCUGAGAGGAUGGUCAGCGACACUGGGACGGAGACCCGGCCCAGACUCCUACGGGAGGCAGCAGUGGGGAAUAGUGGACAGCGGGGGGAGGCAUGAACGAGCAAGGCCGCGAGAGUGAUGAAGGCCUUAGGGUUGUAAAGCGCUUUUAACCGGGAUGAUAAUGACAGUACCGGGAGAGUAAGCUCCGGCUAACUCCGUG